rnacentral:rRNA from 1 species
UAGUUGCAAGGUAUAGACCCGAAACCCGGUGAUCUAGCCAUGAGCAGGUUGAAGGUUGAGUAACAUCAACUGGAGGACCGAACCCACUAACGUUGAAAAGUUAGGGGAUGACUUGUGGCUAGGAGUGAAAGGCUAAUCAAACCGGGAGAUAGCUGGUUCUCCCCGAAAUCUAUUUAGGUAGAGCCUCGGACGAAUACUUACGGGGGUAGAGCACUGUUAAGGCUAGGGGGUCAUCCCGACUUACCAACCCUUUGCAAACUCCGAAUACCGUAAAGUAAUAUCCGGGAGACACACGGCGGGUGCUAACGUCCGUCGUGAAGAGGGAAACAACCCAGACCGCCAGCUAAGGUCCCAAAGUCAUAGUUAAGUGGGAAACGAUGUGGAAAGGCCCAGACAGCCAGGAGGUUGGCUUAGAAGCAGCCAUCCUUUAAAGAAAGCGUAAUAGCUCACUGGUCGAGUCGGUCUGCGCGGAAGAUGUAACGGGGCUAAACUAUGCACCGAAGCUGCGGAUUCAACGUUUACGUUGAGUGGUAGGGGAGCGUUCUGUAAGCCGUUGAAGGUGUGCCGGGAGGCAUGCUGGAGGUAUCAGAAGUGCGAAUGCUGACAUGAGUAACGAUAAUGCGGGUGAAAAACCCGCACGCCGGAAGACCAAGGGUUCCUAUCCCAUGUUAAUCAGGGUAGGGUAAGUCGACCCCUAAGGCGAGGCCGAAAGGCGUAGUCGAUGGGAAACGGAUUAAUAUUUCCGUACUUGGUAUAAUUGCGAUGGGGGGACGGAGAAGGCUAAGCAAGCAUGGCGAUGGUUGUCCAUGUGAAAGUGAGUAGGGCGUUUGUUUAGGUAAAUCCGGACGAACAUUAAACCUGAGACACGAGACGAGUCACCAAGGUGAUGAAGUUGUUGAUGCCAUACUUCCAGGAAAAGCCUCUAAGCUUCAGAUUAUACCGAAUCGUACCCCAAACCGACACAGGUGGUCAGGUAGAGAAUACUAAGGCGCUUGAGAGAACUCGGGUGAAGGAACUAGGCAAAAUCGUACCGUAACUUCGGGAGAAGGUACGCUCCUAUCUGUGAUGAGACUUGCUCUCUAAGCGGACGGGAGCCGCAGUGACCAGGUGGCUGGGACUGUUUAUUAAAAACACAGCACUGUGCAAAAUCGCAAGAUGACGUAUACGGUGUGACACCUGCCCGGUGCCGGAAGGUUAAUUGAUGGGGUUAUCCUUAGGGAGAAGCUCUUGAUCGAAGCCCCGGUAAACGGCGGCCGUAACUAUAACGGUCCUAAGGUAGCGAAAUUCCUUGUCGGGUAAGUUCCGACCUGCACGAAUGGUGUAACCAUGGCCACGCUGUCUCCACCCGAGACUCAGUGAAAUUGAAAUCGCAGUGAAGAUGCUGUGUACCCGCGGCUAGACGGAAAGACCCCGUGAACCUUUACUACAGCUUGGCACUGAACAUUGAACCUACAUGUGUAGGAUAGGUGGGAGACUUUGAAGAUGAGACGCUAGUUUUGUUGGAGUCGUCCUUGAAAUACCACCCUUGUAGUUUUGAUGUUCUAACGUUGGCCCCUGAAUCGGGGUUACGGACAGUGCCUGGUGGGUAGUUUGACUGGGGCGGUCUCCUCCCAAAGAGUAACGGAGGAGCACGAAGGUUGGCUAAGUACGGUCGGACAUCGUACGGUUAGUGUAAUGGUAGAAGCCAGCUUAACUGCGAGACAGACACGUCGAGCAGGUACGAAAGUAGGUCAUAGUGAUCCGGUGGUUCUGAAUGGAAGGGCCAUCGCUCAACGGAUAAAAGGUACUCCGGGGAUAACAGGCUGAUACCGCCCAAGAGUUCAUAUCGACGGCGGUGUUUGGCACCUCGAUGUCGGCUCAUCACAUCCUGGGGCUGAAGUCGGUCCCAAGGGUAUGGCUGUUCGCCAUUUAAAGUGGUACGCGAGCUGGGUUUAGAACGUCGUGAGACAGUUCGGUCCCUAUCUGCCGUGGGCGUUUGAGAAUUGAGAGGGGUUGCUCCUAGUACGAGAGGACCGGAGUGAACGAACCGCUGGUGUUCGGGUUGUCAUGCCAAUGGCAUUGCCCGGUAGCUACGUUCGGAACUGAUAAGCGCUGAAAGCAUCUAAGCGCGAAGCAGGCCUCGAGAUGAUUUCUCACUAGACUUUUAAAGUCUCUGAAGGGCCGUUGAAGACUACAACGUUGAUAGGCAAGAUGUGGAAGUGGUGUGAGCCAUUAAGCUAACUUGUACUAAUUACCCGUGAGGCUUAACCAU